CACAUGACAUAAACAUGGCAGACGAAAAGCUAUGGAAAAUCCAUGAUAGAUCACAAGACGGUCACGGUGUUAAUGAAGAUUGAGGUUUUCUUGUAAAGUUACAUGUGUGACUACGAUUUAUAGGUUUAUCAUAUGUGAUAACCAUGGAUUUCCUUCACCAAUGGCGACAUUGGAUACGACCCUUCAUAAUAAGUUUGUAUUUUGUGUUAUUAAUAAUCGCCCUGCCAUUAUGUGUGGUAGAACUCCAUCAGAACGGCGCCGCUCGUCACGUGGAAGCAUGGUUUACAGGAGGGAUUUUUGUGAUGAUGGCCAUUCCAAUAUCUCUUUGGGGAAUUCUUCAACAUUUAGUCAACUAUACCCAACCAAAUCUUCAGCGCCAUAUCAUAAGGAUUCUUUGGAUGGUUCCAAUAUAUGCCAUUAAUGCAUGGUUUGCCUUGAGAUUUCCAAGUGCCUCCAUUUAUUUAGAUACUUUGAGAGAAUGUUACGAGGCCUAUGUGAUAUACAACUUCAUGGCCUAUCUCCUAAAUUACUUAUGGAUUGAACACCCCAAUCUUGAAGUAACGCUGAGGAAUAAAGAACAAGUUAAACAUAUCUGUCCAUUUUGCUGCUUCCCACCAUGGCAAAUGAAAUAUUCCUUCAUCGACCGAUGUAAACACGGAGCCUUGCAGUACACUAUUGUAAGACCAGUGACAACUUGUAUAGCUUUAAUUUGUCAACUUAACGAUGCAUACCAUGAAGGGGACUUUGAUUUCAAAUCAGCUUGGUCUUACCUGACCAUUAUCAACAACAUCUCACAAAUUGCAGUCUGUGCUGAUAGCUAUCUUGGUCAAGCUGAACUGGAUUCCCCAGGGUGGGGCCUGGGACUUCUAUGACAGCAUCCAGCAAGUGGCAACAGGAUUACAGGAUUUCCUGAUCUGUAUAGAGAUGUUCCUGGCCGCCAUUGCUCACUAUUUCUCGUUCUCUCACAAACCUUACAUCAGGAGUGACAAUGAAGAUGUCAACUGCUUUGCCUCCUUCCUGAUGAUGUGGGAUGUGUCUGACAUGAGAGAUGAUGUCAUCGAACAUGUCAAGGUCAUUGGUAAAACAGUGAAAAAGACCAUCAGCAAACCACAGAUAAGAAAUGAAAAUGAGCGAACACCCUUAUUGGCAGGAGGGGAUUCCCGGUCCGAUUCCCGGGUGGAUUUGAUGGGGUCACAGAGCAGUGCAGACUGGGACGCAGCAUCCCUGGAGAACAGUGAGCGACCCUUUCCUCCGGUCACCGAGACCACCGCCAGCAUGAACAACUACGUGGUUCUGGAGGAUGAGGAGAGCGACCAGGAAGUGGAGAGGACACACACACAGACAGGGAACAAACAUAGCCAAGUUAUGGAUCCAGGAAGUAAUAACCAGGAAGUAAUGAAGACAGACACACACACAGGGUCACAAACUGAGGCUCAGAACACUGGCCAAGCAACCAACUCAGGGGGAAGUGUUCAGACAAAUACAAUAGAACAGGUUACAGUGGCAGAUGUUCAUGUGCAAGACACAGAACACAGUGCAGUACAUCACACCGAGACUUCAUAGCAUUCCUCUGUGAGAAUUAGAUAUACAUUUCAAUUUUAUUUACUUGCUAAUGACCAAAAAACCAGUGAAGAGUGUUUAUAUUGAAGGUGUUUUCGAAAGGAAGACAAAACUUGAUAAACACAUACAAAAGUAAACGAAAGUUAGAUUUCUUAUACAGAAACAAAAGUGAAAUAGGGUACACAUAUUUGAAAAGAGUUUGUUUAUUUUAUUCAGUUGUAUACCUUGAUAUUUUAUUCUGUGAAUCAAAUGUGUAUUAAGGGUGCAAUAUGUAUACAUGUGAAAAAAAACAUGUUCUGUUAAUAGAUGCAAUAAGUGAGUAUAAUGUCUUUAUAUAUUGUAGUUCAUGUAAUCAAAGUGCACACUCUAGUUUUAUAAUACCUACAGACAUAUAGCAGUGCUUUAAUAUAUACUGUAUACAGGGAAAUAUUUGCCCUCUUUUUAUUUUCGCCCCUUUUGUCUUCGUUGUCAGUGGGCAAAUUUAAGAGUUGGUGAAUUCAGAACAAUUUUCAAAAAACUUUGUUAAUUAGAGAGAGUUUCUUUUUUUUUUACUGUGUCUGGGCAAAUUUAAGACCGGACGAAAAGAUUUGCAAGUGUAGAAGGGGGAAAAUAACACAGGGCAAAAAUAACCCUGUGUACAGAUACUUUGUUCUUUAUGUUUUAAAUAUCAUUUAUUAUUGAAUCAUUAUUAUCAACACACCUACUGUACAUAAUACUUUUAUAUCAUUAAUAAUAAAAAGAUUCAUAUGUC
rnacentral:misc_RNA from 1 species